UUCAUAUCUCUGGCAGACUCCUUCAGGGACAAUCACAUUCACACAUUCAAUGAAGACUUGAGACAAGGAUCCUACCGCACAUCCUAGGCUUCCCUUGCCACCUCUUCAGACUGACUUUGAGUCGGAGUUCCCUCUUGUCCAGCAAGAAAAUGGAUGCAGAAUUGAAUACAAGAGAGGCUAAUGUCCGGGAGGAGACGAGAGCCCCAAGAUCUGCAAAACGAGGACUGAGCAGAUCACCUCCACAUUUCUUCCACGCUACAAUUCUAUGAAUUGGAAAUAAAAUGGAACCUUCCCAGAACAUGGGUGAGACCCCUGCAGACAUGCUGGAUACCCUCCCGGGGUAGAGCCCUCAGCCCCACUGAAGGGUACUGGAAGGAGGAAGUAUAGGAUACCCGGCGGGGAAUCAAGUGGUUCCUGCAGGAUCAGUGCCUCCACAAUGACCAAGGUUUAGACCAAGACUUCAGGGUGCUAAAGGUGGUGAAGGUAAGCAUUUGUGGACCCAGCGGGUUUCAAACCCAGCUCUUUCCCUUUGGACAUUUGAGGCCUUGGGGGGUGGAACUGCUUCAUCUCUUUAAGCCUCAGAUUCCUUUUUACCACUUGUUAUAGGAAAUAAGUGUAUUGUCAUCAUCAUUGUUUUCAUAUUGGGGAUCCAGUUCUAUGAGUUCCAAGGAAUUUGGUGGAACAGGUAUAGCAGUAUAG
rnacentral:lncRNA from 1 species